rnacentral:rRNA from 1 species
GACAAACGCUGGCGGCGUGCGUAAAACAUGCAAGUCGCACGGCCCCUUCGGGGGCAGUGGCAGACGGCUGAGUAACGCGUAGGAACCUGCCCCGGGGUGGGGGACAACCUCCCGAAAGGGGGGCUAGUACCGCAUACGGUCCCGGCUUGGCCGGGAAGAAAGCCCUUGGGUGCCCUGGGAGGGGCCUGCGUCCGAUUAGCUGGUUGGUGGGGUAAUGGCCUACCAAGGCACCGAUCGGUAGCUGGUCUGAGAGGAUGAUCAGCCAGACUGGGACUGGGACACGGCCCAGACUCCUACGGGAGGCAGCAGUUAGGAAUUUUGGGCAAUGGCCGCAAGGCUGACCCAGCAACGCCGCGUGGGGGACGAAGGCUCUCGGGUUGUAAACCCCUUUUGGCGGGGACGAUGAUGACGGUACCCGCCGAAUAAGCCCCGGCUAACUACGUGCCAGCAGCCGCCGCCGUAA